CCUACGGGUGGCAGCAGUGAGGAAUAUUGGUCAAUGGGCGAGAGCCUGAACCAGCCAAGUCGCGUGAAGGAUGACGGCCCUACGGGUUGUAAACUUCUUUUGUCAGGGAGCAAUUGAGUCCACGUGUGGGCUUAGCGAGAGUACCUGAAGAAAAAGAAUCGGCUAACUCCGUGCCAGCAGCCGCGGUAAUACGGAGGAUGCGAGCGUUAUCCGGAUUGAUUGGGUUUAAGGGGUGCGUAGGCGGACUAUCAAGUCAGCGGUAAAUAUUCGGGGCUCAACCCCGUCGUGCCGUUGAAACUGAUGUUCUUGAGUGGGCGAGAGGUAUGCGGAAUGCGUGGUGUAGCGGUGAAAUGCAUAGAUAUCGCGCAGAACUCCGAUUGCGAAGGCAGCAUACCGGCGCACAACUGACGCUGAGGCACGAAAGCGUGGGUAUCGAACAGGAUUAGAUACCCCGGUAGUC
rnacentral:rRNA from 1 species